AUGAAAGUUGGCCAAGGUCCUUCCCAACUGGUGCACUGCCGCAGCUUUGUCUUCUCAAGAAUACUGUCGGCUUCAAACUUGCAUCAUGCUCGCACCAAAGUCCAGUUGCUUUCGAUCUUACCACCAGAACGACACCAAGAAGAUACUCUUCAGAUGUCAUAUAAUUUAAGAUUUGAUUUUUGGCUCCAACAUAUAGAAAAAUCAAAUCCUAGGGCACACUAGCAAUAUUUGCUAAAAAACUCACUACCCUUCUUGCAACUUUUGCCACUCAAUUUCUCUUUCUUUUCUCUUAAAAUUUUUCUAGAAUUUUUUCUAUAUUUAGUACAUCCCUCCUCUUUGAUUUAAAUCUAAAAUCAUAGC
rnacentral:lncRNA from 1 species